CUCACAUAAAGUGUGAG
rnacentral:rRNA from 1 species